CCUACGGGAGGCAGCAGGGGGGAAUAUUGCACAAUGGGGGAAACCCUGAUGCAGCGACGCCGCGGGAAGGAAGAAGAAGUUCGGUAGGUAAACUUCUAGCAGCAGGGAAGAAAAGGACGGUACCUGACUAAGAAGCCCCGGCUAACUACGUGCCAGCAGCCGCGGUAAUACGUAGGGGGCAAGCGUUCUCCGGAUUUACUGGGUGUAAAGGGAGCGUAGGCGGUUUAGCAAGUCAGAAGUGAAAGCCCGGGGCUCAACUCCGGGACUGCUUUUUAAACUGGUGAACUAGAUUGCAGGAGAGGUCAUUGGAAUUCCUCUUGUAGCGGUGCAAUGCGUUGAUCUUAGGAGGAACCCCCGUGGCGACGGCGGCUUACUGGACUGUAAAUGACGCUGAGGCUCGACCGCGUGGGGAGCACACAGGAUUAGCUACCCCUGUAGUC
rnacentral:rRNA from 1 species